rnacentral:rRNA from 1 species
UAGGGAAUCUUCCGCAAUGGACGCAAGUCUGACGGAGCAACGCCGCGUGAGUGAAGAAGGAUUUCGGUUCGUAAAACUCUGUUGUUAGAGAAGAACAGCGCAUAGAGUAACUGUUAUGCGUGUGACGGUAUCUAACCAGAAAGCCACGGCUAACUACGUGCCAGCAGCCGCGGUGAUACGUAGGUGGCAAGCGUUGUCCGGAUUUAUUGGGCGUAAAGCGAGCGCAGGCGGUCAAUUAAGUCUGAUGUGAAAGCCCCCGGCUCAACCGGGGAGGGUCAUUGGAAACUGGUUGACUUGAGUGCAGAAGAGGAGAGUGGAAUUCCAUGUGUAGCGGUGAAAUGCGUGGAUAUAUGGAGGAACACCAGUGGCGAGGGCGACUCUCUGGUCUGUAACUGACGCUGAGGUUCGAAAGCGUGGGUAGCAAACAGG